rnacentral:rRNA from 1 species
GACGAACGCUGGCGGCGUGCUUUACACAUGCAAGUCGAACGGUGAAGGUGGAGCUUGCUCCGCCGGAUCAGUGGCGAACGGGUGAGUAACACGUGGGCAACCUGCCCCUAACUUUGGGAUAACUACUCGAAAGAGCAGCUAAUACCGGAUAUGAAGUCUGUAGGCAUCUACGGACUUGGAAAGUUUUUCGGUUAGGGAUGGGCCCGCGGCCUAUCAGCUUGUUGGUGAGGUAGUGGCUCACCAAGGCGACGACGGGUAGCCGGCCUGAGAGGGCGACCGGCCACACUGGGACUGAGACACGGCCCAGACUCCUACGGGAGGCAGCAGUGGGGAAUAUUGCGCAAUGGGCGAAAGCCUGACGCAGCAACGCCGCGUGCGGGAUGAAGGCCUUCGGGUUGUAAACCGCUUUCAGCAGGGAAGAAGCGAAAGUGACGGUACCUGCAGAAGAAGCACCGGCUAACUACGUGCCAGCCGCCGCAGUAA